rnacentral:rRNA from 1 species
AUUGAACGCUGGCGGAAUGCUUUACACAUGCAAGUCGAACGGCAGCACGGACUUCGGUCUGGUGGCGAGUGGCGAACGGGUGAGUAAUGUAUCGGAACGUGCCCAGUCGUGGGGGAUAACGUAGUGAAAAUUACGCUAAUACCGCAUACGAUCUAUGGAUGAAAGCGGGGGAUCGCAAGACCUCGCGCGAUUGGAGCUGCCGGUAUCAGAUUAGGUAGUUGGUGGGGUAAAGGCCCACCAAGCCAACGAUCUGUAGCUGGUCUGUGAGGACUAUCAGCGAGAGUGGAUCAGAGAUACGGUCCAGACUCAUACGAGAGGCAGCAGUGGGGAAUUUUUGACAAUGGGCGAAAGCCGGAUCCAGCCAUUCCGCGUGAAGGAUGAAGUAGCUAUGGUUGUAAACUGCUUUUGUACAUAACGAAAAAGUUUCUACUAAUACUAGGAGCUCAUGACGGUACUGUAAGAAUAAGCACCGGCUAACUACGUGCCAGCCGCCGCAGUAA